rnacentral:rRNA from 1 species
UGCGCAGGCGGGACUGCAAGUUGGAUGUGAAAUACCGAGGCUCAACCUCGGGGCUGCAUCCAAAACUGUAGUUCUUGAGUGGAGUAGAGGCAAGCGGAAUUCCGAGUGUAGCGGUGAAAUGCGUAGAUAUUCGGAGGAACACCAGUGGCGAAGGCGGCUUGCUGGGUUCUAACUGACGCUGAGGCACGAAAGCAUGGGGGAGCAAACA